rnacentral:rRNA from 1 species
GGUUGAUCCUGCCAGAGGCCAUUGCUAUCAGGGUUUGACUAACCCAUGCGAGGCGAGAGGUGUAAGACCUCGGCAUACUGCUCAGUAACACGUGGUUAACCUGCCCUAAGGUGGAGCAUACUCCCGGGAAACUGGGGCUAAUCCUCCAUAGUGGAUGUAUCCUGGAAUGGUAUAUCCUCGAAAGAUCCGUCGCCUUAGGAUGGGACUGCGUCCGAUUAGGUUGUUGGCGGGGUAACGGCCCACCAAGCCAUUGAUCGGUACGGGUUGUGGGAGCAAGAUCCCGGAGAUGGAUUCUGAGACAUGAAUCCAGGCCCUACGGGGCGCAGCAGGCGCGCAAACUUUACAAUGCGAGCAAUCGUGAUAAGGAAACCCUGAGUGCCUGUCGAUGCAGGCUGUUCAUAUAUCUAAAUCAUAUGUGAAGAAAGGGCAGGGCAAGACCGGUGCCCAGCCGCCGCGGUAAUACCGGCUGCUCGAGUGAUGGCCACUAUUACUGGGUUUAAAGCGUCCGUAGCUUGACUGUUAGGUCUCUUGGGAAAUCUUCGCGCUUAACGUGAAGGCGUCUAAAAGAUACCGGCAGUCUUGGAACUGGGAGAGGUAAACCCUCCUUCGGGGGUAGGGGUGAAAUCUUGUAAUCCUCGAGGGACGACCUAUGGCGAAGGCAGUUUACCAGAACAGCUUCGACAGUGAGGGACGAAAGCUGGGGGAGCGACCGGGAUUAGAUACCCCGGUAGUCCCAGCCGUAAACAAUGUGCGUUAGGUGUGUCGGUAACCACGUGUUACUGAUGCCCCUAAGAGAAAUCGUGAAACGCACCACCUGGGAAGUACGGUCGCAAGGCUUAAACUUAAAGGAAUUGGCGGGGGAGCACCACAACAGGUGGAGCCUGCGGUUUAAUUGGAUUCAACGCCGG